AUUCCGCUGAAUUUAAGCAUAUAAGUAAGUGGUGGAAAUUAAACCAAAUGGGAUAUCUUUAGUAAUUGCGAAUGAACAAGGAUAUGCUUAGCUUGACAAAUGGAGCUAUUGGCUUUGAAUUGUAUUGUGGAAAUGUAUUACCAACAGAGGUGCAGGCGCCAGCCUAUUGAAAUAAAGCGUCAAUGAGGGUGAGAAUCCUGUUUGUCAUGUGCAGCCCUUUGUGCACGGUGUAUAUUUGCUGAGUCACACUCCUUGGCAUUGGAAUGCAAAGUGGGUGGUAAGUUUCAUGUAAAGGUAAACAUGCAAUUGAGACUGAUAGCACACAAGUACCAUGAGGGAAAUAUGAAAAGGACUUUGAAAAGAGAAUUAAAUGAGUUUGUAUUUGCUGAACACAAAGUAAACAGACUUGAUUUGCUUGGUGGGAGUGUUGCACUUGCUUGACAAGAGCUUUGGGCUGUGGGUGUAAUGAUUCUUUCUUUGCAUGCCAGUUUCUAUUUGUACAUCUGAUUACCUUUGCACAUGAAUGAUAAGUCUCCUGUGGGGGGGUGGAUUGCAUGUGCAUGUAAUGAUUUGUGUUUUGAUAAAUGUGUCUGGUGUAUGUGUGUGUUCCUGUGCUUGGGGAUGCUUCCUUCCUUGGACUUACAAGCCCUGACACACACAUGCUGGCAAAAUGCUUCUGCUUGACCCGUCUUGAAAAU
rnacentral:rRNA from 1 species